rnacentral:rRNA from 1 species
UACGUAGGGAGCAAGCGUUGUCCGGAAUCAUUGGGCGUAAAGCGCGCGUAGGUGGCCCUGUAAGUCCGUUGUGAAAGUCAAAGGCUCAACCUUUGAAAGCCGAUGGAUACUGCAGGGCUAGAGUCCGGAAGAGGCGAGUGGAAUUCCUGGUGUAGCGGUGGAAUGCGCAGAUAUCAGGAGGAACACCAAUAGCGAAGGCAGCUCGCUGGGACGGUACUGACGCUAAGGCGCGAAAGCGUGGGGAGCGAACAGG